rnacentral:rRNA from 1 species
AUAAAAAGGUAAAUCCAACCCUCUAUAAAAAGCGCCGCGCCGACGCGAAACACUCUCUCUUUUUUUGAUACAGCUAGACGACGUGCUCUGCCUAUACUGCAGCAGCGAAGACGAGCUGCUCCGAUGUGCGCGACGGUAGUACACGUGCUACCUGCUAUAGACUGGAUACUCUGGAAACCGGAGCUAAUNCCUNAUAGAUCCUUGAACCCGCAUGGUUCAAGGGAUGAAAGACGGUUUCGGGCUGUCACUUACAGAUGGACCCGCGGCGCAUUAGCUAGUUGGUGAGGUAACGGCUCACCAAGGCGACGAUGCGUAGCCGACCUGAGAGGGUGAUCGGCCACACUGGGACUGAGACACGGCCCAGACUCCUACGGGAGGCAGCAGUAGGGAAUCUUCCGCAAUGGACGAAAGUCUGACGGAGCAACGCCGCGUGAGUGAUGAAGGUUUUCGGAUCGUAAAGCUCUGUUGUUAGGGAAGAACAAGUGCAAGAGUAACUGCUUGCACCUUGACGGUACCUAACCAGAAAGCCACGGCUAACUACGUGCCAGCAGCCGCGGUAAUACGUAGGUGGCAAGCGUUGUCCGGAAUUAUUGGGCGUAAAGGGCUCGCAGGCGGUUUCUUAAGUCUGAUGUGAAAGCCCCCGGCUCAACCGGGGAGGGUCAUUGGAAACUGGGAAACUUGAGUGCAGAAGAGGAGAGUGGAAUUCCACGUGUAGCGGUGAAAUGCGUAGAGAUGUGGAGGAACACCAGUGGCGAAGGCGACUCUCUGGUCUGUAACUGACGCUGAGGAGCGAAAGCGUGGGGAGCGAACAGGAUUAGAUACCCUGGUAGUCCACGCCGUAAACGAUGAGUGCUAAGUGUUAGGGGGUUUCCGCCCCUUAGUGCUGCAGCUAACGCAUUAAGCACU